UAAUUAAAUCUACAUUUAAUUUUCUCAGUGCCACAGGCACUCAGAUGGAGCUGAAACCUUGCAUUGAAUUAGGAAGAGAAGAAAAAUCACUGGUGGGUCUAGAGCCUGCAGACAUGGUUUGCUGCUGGGACACUGCAUGGAGGCAGCUGUGCUUUUCCCCACUGUCUCUCAUGCUUCCUCGGACAGCAGCUUUCGGUAGCAGUCUUCUCUGUGCCAGGCCUUGCUAGUGGUGAAGAACAAAGAGUCAAAGAAGAGCUAGCCGUGCAUCGGUUCAAACGGCCACCUCCUUCCUCCACUGGACUAAGCAUUCCUUGCUCCACAGCGAGUUCUCAGCACCUGGGAGUUAGAACAUAGUAGGUGCUCAAUAAAUAUUGUCGCAUACAUGUUGGAUAAACUAAACACCUGUCUUCAAAAGGCUUUGGGAAGAUUGAGGAAACAGAAGUGAACCAGUAACUGCAGUUCACCCAGCACAAGUGUUAGGAUGGAGCCAGCCACAUGGAAGGACAGUGCCUCAGCCUGGGCCCAUGAAGUGCAUCUGCUGGGUGAAGAGAGAACCUCUGCAGCCACAUCCUCAGCUUAUCUUUUAUGCAUAGUGACCACACCCACUUGCAAAUAUGUCCUGAAGUCUGGCCAACCAGAUGAGUGCUCUUCUUCCUUGGGUCAGAAUGAAAGGUGGGGUGAGGGAGUCUUGAGAUCUUCUCAUCUUGCCUUUGAAGUCCCCCAAUACCCAGCAGAGUGCUGAAGCCAGAGUAAGAGCAACAGGGAAUUGUUGAAUUAAUUUGAAACCAAUACUGCUACCAUGGGACUGGGUCUGCCCCUCACCUCAGAAACCAGGACCUGGAACUUCUAAACAGGGUGAGAAUUGACAUCAGAGUGUUGUCCACUUGGCUGCUAGGCGUCUCAUCCCUCUGCCUGCCUCUGUGCGACUGCACUUAGACAGUUGAGCUCAGUAAAAUCCAACAACCCACGCCGCUUGGGGGACUCAGAAGAGAUGUCUGUCAAAGCUCCCUCCCAGAGAUUCUGGCACUCUGGAGGACCACAGAGGAAAUAGAUAUUGCAUGGUACCAUGUGAUGCAAGGAGGAAGAAAAGCCUGAGAAACAGAACCAACUGGGACAAAAAUACACAGAAAUACACAGGCUGUGAUGGUGUAUGCGCCCCUCUCUACUUAGGAAGGAAGAUAGUAAGAGAGGGAAGGAAGACAGUAAGAGAGGGGAGGGAAAAGGAGGGGGCUGCUAGGAUCCGCACAGGACCCUGCAUGUCAAAAAGGACUUUUAGGGCCGGGCGC